UACGUAGGUGGCAAGCGUUGUCCGGAUUUAUUGGGCGUAAAGCGAGCGCAGGCGGUUCUUUAAGUCUGAUGUGAAAGCCCACGGCUCAACCGUGGAAGGUCAUUGGAAACUGGGGAACUUGAAUGCAGAAGAGGAGAGUGGAAUUCCAUGUGUAGCGGUGAAAUGCGUAGAUAUAUGGAGGAACACCAGUGGCGAAGGCGACUCUCUGGUCUGUAACUGACGCUGAGGCUCGAAAGCGUGGGGAGCAAACAGGAUUAGA
rnacentral:rRNA from 1 species